rnacentral:rRNA from 1 species
CCUACGGGAGACAGCAGUGGGGAAUAUUGGGCAAUGGGCGCAAGCCUGACCCAGCAACGCCGCGUGAAGGAAGAAGGCUUUCGGGUUGUAAACUUCUUUUAAGAGGGAAGAGUAGAAGACGGUACCUCUUGAAUAAGCCACGGCUAACUACGUGCUAGCAGACGCGGUAAUACGUAGGUGGCAAGCGUUGUCCGGAUUUACUGGAUGGAAAGGGCGUGUAGCCGGGCCGGCAAGUCAGAUGUGAAAUCCCAAGGCUCAACCUUGGAACUGCAUUCGAAACUGUUGGUGUUGAGUAUCGGAGAGGCAGGCGGAAAUCCUAGGGGAGGGGUGAAAUGCGUAGAAAUUAGGAGGAACACCAGUGGCGAAGGCGGCCUGCUGGACGACAACUGACGGUGAGGCGCGAAAGCGUGGGGAGGAAACAGGAUUAGAUACCCCUGUAGUC